UACAGGGGGGGCAAGCGUUGUUCGGAAUUACUGGGCGUAAAGGGCUCGUAGGCGGCCAACUAAGUCCGACGUGAAAUCCCCAGGCUUAACCUGGGAACUGCGUCGGAUACUGGAUGGCUUGAAUUCGGGAGAGGGAUGCAGAAUUCCAGGUGUAGCGGUGAAAUGCGUAGAUAUCUGGAGGAAUACCGGUGGCGAAAGCGGCGCACUGGACCACUACUGACGCUGAUGCGCGAAAGCUAGGGGAGCAAACAGG
rnacentral:rRNA from 1 species